GUCGAGAAUCUUUCACAAUGGGGGCAACCCUGAUGGAGCGACGCCGCGUGGAGGAUAAGGUCUUCGGAUUGUAAACUCCUGUCAUGCGUGAACAAGGUUGCUUGGUUAAUACCUGGGCAAAUUGAUGGUAACGCAAGAGGAAGAGACGGCUAACUCUGUGCCAGCAGCCGCGGUAAUACAGAGGUCUCAAGCGUUGUUCGGAAUCACUGGGCGUAAAGGGUGCGUAGGUGGCGUGGUAAGUCAGAUGUGAAAGCCCGGGGCUCAACCGCGGAACUGCAUCAGAUACUGCCAUGCUAGAGUACUGGAGAGGUGACUAGAAUUCUCGGUGUAGCAGUGAAAUGCGUAGAUAUCGAGAGGAAUACCAAAGGCGUAGGCAGGUCACUGGACAGUUACUGACACUGAGGCACGAAGGCCAGGGGAGCGAACGGGAUUAGAAACCCCGGUAGUCC
rnacentral:rRNA from 1 species